rnacentral:rRNA from 1 species
UACGUAGGGGCCUAGCGUUGUCCGGAUUUAUUGGGCGUAAAGAGCUCGUAGGCGGCUUGUCACGUCGGGUGUGAAAGCCCGGGGCUUAACCCCGGGUCUGCAUUCGAUACGGGCUAGCUAGAGUGUGGUAGGGGAGAUCGGAAUUCCUGGUGUAGCGGUGAAAUGCGCAGAUAUCAGGAGGAACACCGGUGGCGAAGGCGGAUCUCUGGGCCAUUACUGACGCUGAGGAGCGAAAGCGUGGGGAGCGAACAGG